rnacentral:lncRNA from 1 species
UAACUUUCUUUCUCUAUUCCGUUCAUCAUCAAUUCUUCACCAUCAUCAUCAAUCGCCCAAUUCAACACUUAUUCUCAGAAUCUUCAUCUUAGGCUGGCUUCCAAAUAUGAAUGAUAUUUUCUACAUUCAUGGUAGUUUGCUGAGAAGAUUUCAUCUAUUUAUCUAAUCUUCAUCGAAUUCGGCAACACCUUGAAUGUGGCAGCAUUGAUGUUCCAAUCGCAGCUUUAUGUGAGUCUCUCUUACUCUUCUUCCUUUUUUCCUCUGGCAACUUAUUAUUGUGUUGCGUGUGAGGUGUUUGAUAAUUUGACUCAAUGAAAUUUUACUCUAUUAUUUUGCAAUUGUGUGCUUAUCCAGGAAUUAGGUGGAUGAACUGUUAUUUCCGUAUUAGACGAUGCCACUGCCGUGUGAGUAUCUCCCAACAAAUUUGUUUAAAUUUCAAAAUGAUCCUUUAAAUUGAAAAUCUUCGUUCACGUAUGUGAUAUUUUGAACUCUCCACCGAUGCAAAGUGAGUCUGAAGGUAAAUAUUAUUGUCCCCCUUGUUUCCAUUAUGUCUGUAUGUUAUCUACAUCAAUAGGUAUGUACACACUGAAUAUAUAUAUACAGAAAAAUAAUUUUUGCUGCACCAACGGUAGAUAAAAGUGAAAUACUGGCUCUUGUAGGCGAUAAGAUGGAUUCUUUGAUCCUUUAUAAUCUAUGAUUAAAUGGUUGCGUUAUUGAUGAGUCAUAAUUAUGCAUUUCGCAUUGAACUUAGGAAUAAAACGAUUAAUUCUUAAAUCAAGUAGAACUUCUCUUUCAUGAAUGUUGUGUUCAAUAAUCGGUGAUUAGCUAUUUGAAAGUCAUCACUGCAUUUGUUGGUAUCAUAUGAAGUUGUCCAUGAUGGUGAUUAUGAUCUGUUCAAUUUUAGGGCUCAUUCUAUUUCUAUGCAUCCUGAUAACUUAUAUGGGCAUAUGCAGAAUUACUGAAGUGUCCACGAAAAUAGAACCAGUGCAGGAGAAAAAAUAAAGAGCUUAGCACAAAUAGGAUUUUUGAAGUUAUUUAGUGGUUGCCUUAUCGCAUUUGAAGGUUUGCAGGUUAUUUCUUUGUUUACCCUUUGAAUCUCUUUGAUAUUGCUGAAUAAUAACUGUAGUCUCUUAGAUAGAUCUACUCAAUAGAUAAAACUUGGACAAAGUAAAGUAUAUGCAAAAUCAGAACUCUACCAAAUCCACCAACUUCCAAUAGCCCCUUUUCCAUGAAACCCUUUGUAGCAAAGUAUAGAUCUUUGAACUUAAAUCUAUGAGGGCCAUAUUCAUGUUCCCAAUCUUCAAGAAUCUCAGCAAACAUCUUCCGUUUGAUAUAAUAUAUAACCCUAAAGUUAUCAUGAAUAGCGAACUAAGCAAAAUCAAAGGCAACCCAACAGUUAAAAAUUUAGACUUUUUUUUUUCUCAUCAAAUAUACUUAGCUCAGGAGCAAAUAUUCUUGGCUCAGGAAGUUCAGAGAUUUCAAGGUUUUGAGCUUGGCUAUUAACCUUAAAACUCCAACCAAGAAUAUAAUGAGAAGCUACAAUUAACCCUGUUGAAGAUGAGAAUCCAACAUACAUUCUAUUGUUGAGUAUUGGAGAAAGAUCUUUGGUCAAUGAUAACAAAGGUUGUGUUGGUUUAUCACUAAAACCAACACUAAUUGGAGCUAAAGUAACAUCAUAAUAUCCAUACCUGCAUAUCCACUGGAAAGGGAUAAAUUCCUGAAUCCAUAAUCAUCAUAAUAUCCUGCAGGAGUUGAAUUAGCUGAUUUCAAAUCAUUGAUAUCAAUACCAAUAUGGUUAUCAUUGAUUUCAUCAAACUCAAAAUUUUGAUCAGUGUCAAGCUCAAUACCAAAAACAUGGCUGCUACUGUUUCCAUUGUUGGAAUUGUUAGAGACCAAGGUAUUAAUAUUGUAGUGAAUUUGGUAGCCCUUUUGUAGGUGAAAUAACAAAAACAAUUCCAUGGCCACUAUGAGUUGGAUAUUAAGAUUUUAUAGCAAAUAAAGAAUUAGUUGAGAAAGAAGACACACUUUCACUGAGUGUUUUUGAAAACUAUAGGAUUUGGAUAGAAAGCAUUGCCAUCAAGAUAUAAAUGUGAUGAUUGGAAUCCACUUUAUUUAUAGAUAAAGCAACAUGAACACAAGUCUGAGGAACAUGAUUAUAGUUUGAGAAUGAAUCAUGCUUCUGUAGUUCUGUUCGAGUGUUCGGUGUUUAUUAUUUAUAAGAUUUUGUGCUAAGUGAAGGAAAAAUUGCAUGUCUAAUUCGGGUCCUACUAAGAAAUUUCCUAGAACCUAGCUACGAAUUAUUACUAAAAGAAACAUCACAUGGUUACUAAAAUUGCCUUAUCAUCUGGGUCCUACUAAGAAAUGUCUCAUUUAGUUUAGUGAAGAGAAUGUGUUAUACAUUUGAAUCACAAUUUUUUUUUAUUUUUUUUCCAACAGUAGUAGUGGGUGAAUGUUUUUUUAACAUUUACAUAUUAAGUGUUUGAUGCUAAAUUGAAUAUGUGAAAUUUAAUUAUCAAUGUGUUCUAAUUUCUUAGAAUAAGUAGUGUUUUUUUUUAAUCCUGAAUGUGUGGACUUGACCAGUUACUAUUGAUUAUUGAUUAUGCUUCAAAUCAAAUGAUGAAUGAAUAUGUGGUGGAAAGAUAAAAAGAUAUAUGUUGGUUUGACUCAAUUUCAUACUCACUCCGUCUCUAAAUAUAAGACUCCUCUACAAAUUACUAAAUACAUUUAUUGCUCUUUUUUUUCCAAUAUACUAUCAAUUUAUCUAAGAAUAUGAAAAUUAACUUUGAAUGCACUUUUAUAAAAAGGGUAAUUUAGAAAUAGUAACACACAUUUCAGACAAAUUUAUUACUCGAAAGACUUUUUUUAGUACCCGUGAUUUUUGUAAAGUGUUCUUCUAAAAAAGGAUGGAGGGAAAAUUUUUCUUCAUGCAAAAAUCAUGGUGAAAUUUCGAGCCACAUGUUCCAUCGGUCACAUGUGUUGGCAAAUUGCAGGGAGAUGGAGGCAAAUCACCGGGUAAUUUACUCGUGAUUGACAGCUAUAAAAUACAAUUUUAGACCUGGUUGUUUUGCAAUCUUUCUACUCUAAAGGAGUUAAGGAACUAAUAGGGUGAGGGUUGAGUGUUUUGCAUGAUAUUCUUAUGUUGGAAAACAUCAUGAGAUCUCAUUAGAGUAAAUAUCAAACUCUUUUUCUAGUUUUCUCCUUAGAUCUCAAUUUAGGUUUUAGUGACUUGAAAAAUGGAUAGAAAUUAGAGAUUGUUCUUAUUGUCUACAAGAAUGGUAAAGGUAUUCUUUACCUAGGGCUUUGGUCAAUUUACUCUCAAAUUGUUUCAAACAAACUAAUUUGGCUGAAAUUUUUUUAAUUUCAGGGAUCAUUUUAGAAGUAUGAGUAAUUUGGUUGAAAUUCUUUUAAUUUCAGGGAGAUGAAUGGAAAAUUGAAAUUUAUCACAGCAUUCGUUGGUAAAGUAUGAAGUCGUCCAUGAUAGUGAUUAUGAUGUGUUCAAUUUUAGGGCUCAUUCUAUACAUCCCGUUAACUUAAUCUUAUAUGUGCAUAUGCAGAACUACUGAAGUGUUGAAGAAAAUCGAACGAGUAAAGGAGAAAAGAUGAAGAGCUUGUUUGAGUCUUUAGAACAAAUAUAAUUUCUGAAGUUAUUUAGUGGUUGCCUUAUUGCAUUUGAGGUUUUGCAGGUUAUUUCUUAGUUUACCCUUUGAAUCUCUGUGAUAUUACUGAACAAUAAUUGUAGUCUCUCGUUUACUCAAAAUAGAUACAAACUUGGACGCAAUGAAGUAUAUACAAAAUCAAAACAAAAAAAGUUUAAUGAGAAAAUGAUUUUAUGUAACUAUUAAACCAUUUACUCAAACAUGAUUUCACUUUUUAGAUAACAAACUCUCUUUAAUCCUUUUUACCAAAAUUUAAUACAUUACAAAAUCAAAAUGCACCAAUUAAGCAUCAAUUAGACGUGUCUUUUGAAAUCAACGACCACCCGAGAGAACAGAUUCAGCAAUUAACGCUGAAGUAUAUGGCAUUCUCCUGUCCUCAACAAAUAAUUGGUACCCAAAAGUUAAACCAGAAGAAGAUAAACUAAGCGAAGAAAAAUCUGGCAAAGGUGUAUCCCUCUCCAAAUACUGUACAACUUGUCUCAUACUUGGUCUAGCCAAAGGCUCUGAAUGUGAACACAACAAGCCAAGUUUCAACACCAAUUCCACCUCUUCAGACACAUAAUUUGUUCCUAAAUGAACAUCUUUUGCCUCAAGAAUCUCACCUCUUUGCCAACAUUCAAACACAGAAUCAACUAGAAUUAGACUCUCAUUGUCUCCUACACGACCUAUAGGCCUCCUACCACAAACAACCUCAAGAAGAAAUGCACCAAAAGAAAACACAUCAGAAAAUUUAGUAGCCUUACCUCUUCUAAUAUGUUCAGGAGCAAGAUAACCAAUAGUUCCAGCCAAAUGAGUUGUGUGAGGAUCAGCACCAUGAUCAUGCAACCUUGAAAGACCAAAAUCUCCCAAUCUAGCAUUAAAUCCAGAAUCUAACAACACAUUACUAGCCUUUAUGUCUCUAUGAAUAACAACUUUCUCCCAUUCUUCAUGAAGAUAAACCACACCUGAAGCAACACCUUUGAUGAUUCUAAAUCUUUGACUCCAAUUCAACCUCACUUUUGGUUGGUUAUAUAGAUAGUUGUCUAAACUUCCAUUCGGCAUGUAAUCAUAAACCAAAAGUAACUCGCUUUUUCGCCUGCAAUAGCCAUGAAGUUGAACAAGAUUCCUGUGCCGAAGACGACCGAUACUAACAAUUUCCGACACAAAUUCCCUCAUCCCUUGUCUUGAUUCAUGAGACACCCUUUUCACAGCAACCUCAAGUUUGGAACUUUGUAUCACACCUUUGUAGACUCUACCAAAUCCACCAACUCCCAAUAGCCCCUUUUCCCUGAAACCCUUUGUGGCUGAGUAUAGAUCUUUGAACUUAAAUCUACGUGGGCCAUAUUCAUGUUCCCAAUCUUCAAGAACCUCAUCAAACUUCUUCAAUUUGACAUAAUACAUAACCCCUAAAGUUAUCAUGAAUACCAAACUUAGGAAAAUCAAUGGCAAUCCAACAGUUAAAAAUUUCGACUUUUUUUUCUCUGCAGGUAGUUUAGGAAGUUCAGAGAUUUCAAGGUUUUGAGCUUGACCAUUAACCUUAAAACUCCAACCAAGAAUAUACUGAGAAGCUACCAUUAACCCUGUUGAAGAUGAGAAUCCAACAUACAUUCUAUUGUUGAGAAUUGAAGAAAGAUCUUUGGUCAAUGAUAACAAAGGUUGUGUUGGUUUAUUACUAGCACCAACACUCAUUGGUGCUAAAGUAACAUCAAUCUUUUUCUUCACUCCAUCAUAUUCAAUCCAUACCUGCAUAGGGUAUCCACUGGAAAGGGAUAAAUCCUUGAAUUGACCAUAACCAUCAUAAUAUCCUGCAGGAGUUGAAUCAGCUGAUUUCAAAUCAUUGAUAUCAAUUCCAACAUGGUUAUCGUUGAUAUCAUCAAACUCAAAAUUUUGACGAGUGUCAAGCUCAACACCAAAAACAUGGUUGCUACUGUUUCCACUGUUGGAAUCGUUAAAGAGACCAAGGUAUUGACUUGGUAGUGAAUCUGGUAGCCCUUUUGUUGGAGAAAUAACAAAAACAAUUCCAUGGCCACCAAUAUUUGCAUAUUGAGGUAUUAUGGCAAAUAAAAAAGUAGUUGAGAAAGAAGACACGCUUUCACUGGAAGUGUUUUUGAAAACUAUUGGAUUUGGAUAGAAACCAUGUCCUUUGUCUCUUUCUGUAUCAUUGGUGAGUUUUAGUAAGCCAUUUGUAGUUAACUCAGCAAUACCAUCAAGAUAUAAAUGUGAUGAUUGGAAUCCAUUAUAUAUGAAACUGUUGUCUUCACUUGCAACCAAUGUAACAUGAAAAAACAACAUGAACACAUGUCUGAGGAACAUGAUUAUAGGUUGUGAAUAAUAAUGCUUAUACAGUUCGGUUCAUUGUUUCUUAUUUAUUAUUUUUUAUUUAUAAUAUUUUGUCCUAUUGCUAGUCUCAUUUGGGACCUACUAAUAAGUGUCCCUUUACCUAACUUAGCUACGUAUUAUCACCAAAAGAAACAUCAAAUCAAAUGGUUACUAAAAUUGCGUAUCUCAUUUGAGUCAAUUUAAGUGGUGGAAGGAUGGAUAAAGAUAAUGUUGGUUUUGACUAAAAUGACUGGGGCAGUUUUUAAAGGAGAUAAUUUUUAGGAAACUUGGAAGUUAAGAGUUGAGUUGGAAAGAUUCUUUCUUCCUCUAACAUAGGUCAUUUUGGGCCGAAUUAGGUAAACAAUUUGAAAAUCGCUCUUUAAGCUUGAAAAAUUGUUCUCUUGCACCUUAAAAUUUCAUUAAUACCCCCAACAGCAAUGAAUUAUCGUCGCUACCCAGCAGCAGUUAAUUGUCGUUCGGUCUUUUUGCAACCACAAUUGUGUUCAACUGCAGUUGCGUUCGAGACUUAUUCUAGAACAGUAACAACACGUGUUCUGGAUUUAUUUUAUAAAAGCAAAAAUAGUUAUCACUUUUGUUUGAAACACAAAACUCCAAUCUCACUCAAAUGAAUCUCAUCCAAUUUCUUUCAUCAAAAUCAAAAGUUAUCAACUAUUCUACAAGUAAGUGUUAAUAAUCUCUUCUAUUCACAUUGUUAGUUUUAUAUAAUUUUUUUUCCUUCAAAAUUUGGUGGAAAUGUUAGUGUUUAUGAUUGGAUAAAUUAUUGAUAUUUUGGGUAGUCUGUGAUCCUAUAUAUGCAUGUUUUGACUAUAAAUGUUGUUUAAACUAAAUUUAAGUUCAAUGUUGUAGUUUAAAAGUUGAAAUAACACAAUGAAUAAAUGUUGUAUAUUUUGUACUACAAGCGUUUGAUGAAAUGCUUGAAUGAGUUUUUCAUUGAUAUUUUUAUUGUCUUUUGUUGUGUAGAUAUGACUGAGAACCUACAUAUGCGUAAAGAGACCAUGACAAGCAGUUCCCGCAAGGAGAGAGUGACAGUGAACCCUACUAAAAUCUGCAUUUCCAACGAU